GACAGAGGGUGCAAACGUUGUUCGGAAUUACUGGGCGUAAAGCGCGUGUAGGUGGUCACGCAAGUCAGGUGUGAAAGCCCAGGGCUCAACCCUGGAAGUGCACAUGAUACUACGUGGCUGGAGUACUGAAGAGGAGAGCGGAAUUCCCGGUGUAGAGGUGAAAUUCGUAGAUAUCGGGAGGAACACCAGUGGCGAAGGCGGCUCUCUGGGCAGAUACUGACACUGAGACGCGAAAGCGUGGGUAGCAAACAGG
rnacentral:rRNA from 1 species